rnacentral:rRNA from 1 species
AGAAUCAACGCUGGCGGCGUGCCUAACACAUGCAAGUCGAACGAGAAAGUGGAGCAAUCCAUUAGUAAAGUGGCGCACGGGUGAGUAACACGUGACUAACCUACCCUUGAGUGGGGGAUAACCUAGGGAAACCUGGGCUAAUACCGCAUAAUACCUUCGGGUCAAAGGAGCAAUUCGCUUAAGGAGGGGGUCGCGGCCGAUUAGUUAGUUGGCGGGGUAAUGGCCCACCAAGACGAUGAUCGGUAUCCGGCCUGAGAGGGCGCACGGACACACUGGAACUGAAACACGGUCCAGACUCCUACGGGAGGCAGCAGUGGGGAAUUUUGCGCAAUGGGGGAAACCUUGACGCAGCAACGCCGCGUGGAGGAUGAAGCCCCUUGGGGCGUAAACUCCUUUCGAUCGGGACGAUAAUGACGGUACCGGAAGAAGAAGCCCGGCUAACUUCGCGCCAGCAGCCGC